AUGCUGAAAAAAACAGCAGAAACCAGAGGAAACAUGACAUGGUUCACAUUUUCCGACGCUUCCAGGCAGCAGGCUUAUAGGUUUGUGGUGAAAACGAAGAGACUCAGUCUUUGAGGGCCAUCAUCAUUCCUGUACAAAUGAAAAAAAUUCUGUAUUGCUUAAGGUAAGAAAGAAAAAUCUACUAGCUCUUAUACUCCACAAUGCUAAAGUGUCAUAUUGUACAGAAAACU
rnacentral:lncRNA from 1 species